AUUCUUUUAGAUUCGAAGCGGUUAGUGGCGGACUGGUGAGUAACACGUAAGGAACCUGCCUUUUAGAGGGGAACAACAGUGAGAAAUCAUUGCUAAUACCACAUAUGCCAUAAAUAUCACAUGAUAAAAGUGGGAAAGGAGUAAUCCGCUGAUAGAUGGGCUCGCGUCUGAUUAGAUAGUUGGUGGGGUAACGGCCUACCAAGUCGACGAUCAGUAGCCGGACUGAGAGGUUGAACGGCCACAUUGGGACUGAGAUACGGCCCAGACUCC
rnacentral:rRNA from 1 species